UCCGCGCCGCGCGGACCCACCGAGCCCGCGCUCAGACGCCCCAGCUCCGCCGACAGGCCGCUCGCGCCGGGUCCUUCCUCUUCCCCAGGUGCAGGCAGAGCCCCCGGAGCCAUGGCCAGCCCUUCCGGCAGCUCCAAAGCCACUGGCAAGCCCCGAGGCAGGGAUGGCCGGCCCAGGAGAGAGGAGGACGACGUCACUCCCGAAGAGAAGAGGCUGCGGCUGUUGCUGGAGGAGGGAAGCGCACAGCCCGAUGACGGGGAGGACGCACCGCGGCCAGGCAGGAAGGAGACCGGCACCCAGACAGGUGGCGACGGCAGAGGACCUCUGCCUCAGUCUCCUCUUCUGGAAAGUGGGAUUGGAAACCACAUCUGCUUCUCUCCCAGGACUGCUAGGAAGACAAGAUUAGAUGGCAGGAAGGAAAAUACAUGUACAGCCAACUUCCUUGAGGAUUCGUUCUUUUGCAUCAGGGUGUCUCAAACUCCUGCCCUUAAAACACCUGCAAGAGAAUCAUCCAGGUGGCUUGCUCACUCUGCAUGCAGACCCUUUAGAAUCAGAGUCAGAAUCCCUGGGGCUGGAGCCACAAAAUGAAAUGACAUUUCAACAAGUUUGUCAUCACGUAAGAGAGAAUAGCUUGUCUUCUUCUCUCCCAGUAGAUUCUUCAUGAAGAGGCCAUGUGCUAUAUUCCAUGAGAUAUUUCACACUCAAAGAAGACUUCUUUUAUACUCUUUUGAUAAUUUGUCUGGGAAUCACUGUCUUGAUUUAUAAGGGAGUUUGUA
rnacentral:lncRNA from 1 species